AACGAACGCUGGCGGCAUGCCUAACACAUGCCAGUCGAACGAGAUCUUCGGAUCUAGUGGCGCACGGGUGCGUAACGCGUGGGAAUCUGCCCUUUGCUUCGGAAUAACAGUGAGAAAUUACUGCUAAUACCGGAUGAUGUCUUCGGACCAAAGAUUUAUCGGCAAAGGAUGAGCCCGCGUAGGAUUAGGUAGUUGGUGGGGUAAUGGCCUACCAAGCCGACGAUCCUUAGCUGGUCUGAGAGGAUGAUCAGCCACACUGGGACUGAGACACGGCCCAGACUCCUACGGGAGGCAGCAGUGGGGAAUAUUGGACAAUGGGGGAAACCCUGAUCCAGCAAUGCCGCGUGAGUGAUGAAGGCCUUAGGGUUGUAAAGCUCUUUUACCAGGGAUGAUAAUGACAGUACCUGGAGAAUAAGCUCCGGCUAACUCCGUG
rnacentral:rRNA from 1 species